CACAGAAUUGACACUGAACCCAGACCCUGAAUACGCAGCAAUAGGCAACAUCAAGAGAGACCCCCCAGGGCAGGCCUCUGAGGAGCCUGGAGCUGAUGUCACCUACAGCUCCAUUGUCCUGUCAGACCCAGAGGUGUCCUCUAGAUGUUCUUCACACCGUCCUGCUGUAACCCCAGCCAGCGAUGUGGUCUACAGCUCAGUCGCCCUGAAGCACAGAGAGGUGAGUUUGGACAAUCUGCUCUAACAUGAGCUGUGAUACAUUUAGUGUCUGAUGCUACAUACA